rnacentral:lncRNA from 1 species
GCUCCGCCCCCCGCGGGGGGGGCGGGGCGUCUUCGUCCACAAGCGGCGGCGGAAAUGGGGGGAAUGGUGGGUCCCCAUCAUCAAUAUCGAGGAAAUGCAGCAAAAUGGCGAAAGAACACAAGGCCAGAUUCUACAUUGUCAAGCGCUGCGUCGCCAUGCUCGUCUGCUGGCAUAAGCAUGGCGGCGACCGUUGAUUCAUUGGUCCGACCGAGAAAAUCUCUGGUCUGACCAAUGAGUGGUUUUAAUUGAGAAUCGGAUUGAUUCAUCCGAUUUUUUUAUAUCAAGAGCUCCCUAAUUUUCUCCCAAUGGGAAGAUCUGAAUAUUUUGUCAGAUCGAUUUUUCGAGAGGGUGAUGAAUUAAUCGGCUCGAUUUACCCGAAUGCGAAACGGGUAAUGCAGCAGCAUCAACAAAAUCAGUGGUAGAGUUGUUUUUAUUUUAUUUUAUUCUUCUCUUUUUUUUUAUGGCUACUACUUAGAUUCAUCAAAAUGAGUGUAAUUAGGUAGUAAAGAGGUUGAGCUUUUUGAUUAAUAGAUAUAAUUAUAGAUGUUAAUAAAUAUGUGGGGAUCAAAUUAGUCACCUUUCAUUAAUUUGUUGUUAAUUAUUCCCAACGGGAAGGCCGGGACUUUCUACUGCUUCUUCAUUGUGUCUGAAGUUCGAGAUAGCUUGGCAAUGCUUUUUACAUUUUUGAAGCUCCUCGUCUUCUCCCACCCCCCGGAUCUCGCAACUACGAAAAUCCCUUGUCGGGUGCAGUUCAUUUCGACAUUGAAUUGCCACUUCCUAACAAUUCGAUACUUGUUCCCGAUCGCUUCGUCCUACAUAACGGUUUAAACAAUUGCAUCUCCAAUAUAAUUCGAGUACUUAAGAGAGAGGGGUUCACAUUGAAUUUUUCAUUUCUCAUUUACACGCCUUUCUCAAACAGAAACCCUCUUCGAAAAAGGUGAGGUUUGUAUCAAAGUCAUGUGCAGCAACUUGGCAAGUUAGUUAUAAGAAGAACCAUUGCAUUUUUAAUAAUUCGAGCGAGAGAGGUUUAGAUUGAUUUUUUCAUUAACAGGGCUCUUCUCAAAUGAAAAUGCUCGGUUCGUAUCAAAGUCAUGUGCAACAGCUAGG